AGUAAUUCGAUGAAGAGGAUAAGUAGUUUUCUAUUUGGAUUCCAAAGAGAGCCGGUGGUUGGUGUAAAUCGGUGAACCAAUAGUUAAUGAACUCACCUCAGAGUGUUAGCUUGAAAGGUCUCCCUAUUAGAGCUAACCGAGUGUUUCCACUCGUUAUCAAAAGAGAACGAACCGUUCAUAAAGUGCAUACACUUAUCCGUUAGUGUAUGAAUGAGGGUGGUACCGUGGAAAGGAAAUGCCUUUUCACCCCUUUG
rnacentral:ncRNA from 1 species